rnacentral:rRNA from 1 species
ACACGUCUACAUUAGAUACCCGGGUAGUCCCAGCCGUAAACGAUGCGCGUUAGGUGUAUCGACGACCACGAGUCGUCGAGGUGCCGAAGGGAAACCGUGAAACGUGCCGCCUGGGAAGUACGGUCGCAAGGCUGAAACUUAAAGGAAUUGGCGGGGGAGCACCACAACAGGUGGAGCCUGCGGUUUAAUUGGACUCAACGCCGGAAAUCUCACCGGAUAAGACAGCAGAAUGAUUGCCGGGCUGAAGACUCUGCAUGACUAGCUG